rnacentral:rRNA from 1 species
UACGUGGGGUCCAAGCGUUAUCCGGAAUUACUGGGCGUAAAGAGUUGCGUAGGUGGCAGAGUAAGUAGGUAGUGAAAUUGUGUGGCUCAACCAUACACCCAUUAUCUAAACUGCUCAGCUAGAGUAUGGGAGAGGUCACUGGAAUUUCUUGUGUAGGAGUGAAAUCCGUAGAUAUAAGAAGGAACACCGAUGGCGUAGGCAGGUGACUGGCCCAUUACUGACACUAAGGCACGAAAGCGUGGGGGAGCGAACUGG